ACAUUUUGGUAUCCUUCAAACCACACUGCGUCUGGCUGCCCACUCUGUUUGCUAAUGAGGCUGAGUGUGGACGCUGGCAAACAGAAUUAGCUCGUCCCUGGCGAGUGAAAUGGCAUUAGACCUCAUCACCAUCGUGCACACAAUGGCCAAACAUCCAAAAGCUACUGGAGCUCGGAAGCCUGGGAUGCCGUUAUUGGAUGAUGCAUCAUAACAGCGAUCCCGAAUGAAAGCGACUUUCACUGAUUAUUUUCAAGGCUUUAAAGGGACACAAGAAGAGGAAAUGUCUUCACCGGUUCAGAGCAGCAGUUGGUCAGCACGCUCAUUUGUUUGGCCUAAAGCUUUUAAACACUCCCGACUUCUGUUUGCUGUCUACAAUGCACUUCCUGACUGCAGAAGUUCUUUGUUUCCUACCAUUCAGUUCAGUAAGGACAGAGUUACUAAGCAGCAUUUAAGUCUUACUUCAUUGCACGAAUAUGUUCCCCUCCUUUGCUAUGGGUCUGUUUAUUAAACAAAUAUUAAAUGAAUGAAAUAAA